GCCGUAGCAGAACAGCAGGCACACGGCCACCGCGGCCAGUCGAGGCAGGAGCCGCACCGCCAGCGAGGACAUGUCCUCCUGCUUCAAGCUUGCCGCCGU
rnacentral:lncRNA from 1 species